rnacentral:rRNA from 1 species
ACACUGAACAUUGAGCCUUGAUGUGUAGGAUAGGUGGGAGGCUUUGAAGUGUGGACGCCAGUCUGCAUGGAGCCGACCUUGAAAUACCACCCUUUAAUGUUUGAUGUUCUAACGUUGACCCGUAAUCCGGGUUGCGGACAGUGUCUGGUGGGUAGUUUGACUGGGGCGGUCUCCUCCUAAAGAGUAACGGAGGAGCACGAAGGUUGGCUAAUCCUGGUCGGACAUCAGGAGGUUAGUGCAAUGGCAUAAGCCAGCUUGACUGCGAGCGUGACGGCGCGAGCAGGUGCGAAAGCAGGUCAUAGUGAUCCGGUGGUUCUGAAUGGAAGGGCCAUCGCUCAACGGAUAAAAGGUACUCCGGGGAUAACAGGCUGAUACCGCCCAAGAGUUCAUAUCGACGGCGGUGUUUGGCACCUCGAUGUCGGCUCAUCACAUCCUGGGGCUGAAGUAGGUCC